rnacentral:rRNA from 1 species
AGUUUGAUUCAUGGCUCAGGAUGAACGCUGGCGGCGUGCCUAAUACAUGCAAGUCGAGCGAAUGGAUUAAGAGCUUGCUCUUAUGAAGUUAGCGGCGGACGGGUGAGUAACACGUGGGUAACCUGCCCAUAAGACUGGGAUAACUCCGGGAAACCGGGGCUAAUACCGGAUAACAUUUUGAACCGCAUGGUUCGAAAUUGAAAGGCGGCUUCGGCUGUCACUUAUGGAUGGACCCGCGUCGCAUUAGCUAGUUGGUGAGGUAACGGCUCACCAAGGCAACGAUGCGUAGCCGACCUGAGAGGGUGAUCGGCCACACUGGGACUGAGACACGGCCCAGACUCCUACGGGAGGCAGCAGUAGGGAAUCUUCCGCAAUGGACGAAAGUCUGACGGAGCAACGCCGCGUGAGUGAUGAAGGCUUUCGGGUCGUAAAACUCUGUUGUUAGGGAAGAACAAGUGCUAGUUGAAUAAGCUGGCACCUUGACGGUACCUAACCAGAAAGCCACGGCUAACUACGUGCCAGCAGCCGCGGUAAUACGUAGGUGGCAAGCGUUAUCCGGAAUUAUUGGGCGUAAAGCGCGCGCAGGUGGUUUCUUAAGUCUGAUGUGAAAGCCCACGGCUCAACCGUGGAGGGUCAUUGGAAACUGGGAGACUUGAGUGCAGAAGAGGAAAGUGGAAUUCCAUGUGUAGCGGUGAAAUGCGUAGAGAUAUGGAGGAACACCAGUGGCGAAGGCGACUUUCUGGUCUGUAACUGACACUGAGCGCGAAAGCGUGGGGAGCAAACAGGAUUAGAUACCCUUGGUAGUCCA